rfam:Salmo salar isolate Sally breed double haploid chromosome ssa03, whole genome shotgun sequence.
UGAAUGCACUUUUGUAAGUCGCUCUGGAUAAGAGCUUCUGCUAAAUUGCUCAAA